UUUUGCUUUCUUCAGUCUUCAGUCUCUAAAUCUAUUUAUCACUCAUUCACAAGCACGGGCGGAACCAUCUGGGGUCUAGUGGACCCAUUAAGCCUGUUCUAAAGGCAAGGAGAAAACCAUAACAACCACAUAAAAAAUUCAAGAGAUCGCUGUUGAGUAAGGAAGAUUACCAUAAAAAAACAACAAUUUUGGGGAAAAAAUCUAAGAAGCUAGAAGAUGAAAAUGGCGAUUAAGACUGGACGGAAUUUUAGAUCGAGGUUGUACAAAAAUCGAUCGCGUGCGAAAUCAACUUAUAAAGUCCGAUUCUACAUAAAAAUCUGAUACUACCUUCCAAGUUUGGUGAUGGUUAUGAAGAAGCAGACUGAUCCUUGUAAAAAUCACAGCAAGGCCAGAUAAAUUGGUUCCAAGGGAAACCCUUAGCCGCUUGUCCCCUCCUGUUUCUCUAUCAAUAGACUUAAAAUCUUCACUGUAGUUGGAGAGAGAAAUUGGGGAAAUGGUCCCUAACUUAUAGGCCCAUUUGCAAAUAGUCUGUAACUUUGAAAUCUUGACGCAACGAUUCCUAACCUACCACUUUUUUGUGCAAAUGGUCCUUUCAAGCCACCGGCGUUAGCCCAAUGGUAGUCU
rnacentral:lncRNA from 1 species